CGAUGGGAUCUGAGGGAUUUGGGAGGCCUGGGAGUAGUUCCGGGCAGUGAAGCGUGUGGGUGGAGCGCAUGCAGACUCUCUGGUGUGUGCGGGGUGCGGGGAGCGGGAUUAUGGCUCCCAGAGGACCUGGAAGCAGGUUUGGCACGGAGAUAUGUCUCCUUUCCAUUCCCUACUCCUGAAAAGGGGAUCCCAGGUUGUCCCCCAGUGUCCAGGUAGCUCCAGCCACAUCAGCAGAGUCAACAGGAUGUGCUGUACCAUGGCAGAUAAUCAGUAAGCAUCUAUUGAAAUCGCUGUGUGACCUUAGGUAAUGGGGACAGCUCAGCGUGGGAGCUGGGAGACCUGAGGUUAGCCUUCCCUGCAUGGCUAACUGUGGUGAGGCCUUGGUGGAAUCACUCUACGUGGAGUGCGAAGAGGACAGAACUGGGAAUAGGGCUUCUGAGUACAAGUCCCAGGUUCUGCCACCUACGCUCUGGGCUUCAUUUUCCCCAUCUGUGAAACGGGUUAGGUGGCAAGCCCUGCCCUGCUUUCCUCAUGGGAAGGUUGUGAAGAGCAAACGAGGUACGGGUGUGAAAGGAAUGUAUGGACAAGCAACUAUGUGCCAGCCUGGGUGCCAGGGACCCUUUGGGAAGAAAGACUUUAUUUAUUUGACAGAGAGAGACACAACGAGAGAGGGAACACAAGCAGAGGAAGUGGGAGAGAGAGAAGCAGGCUUCCCGCGGAGCAGGGAGCCCGAUGUGGGGCUCGAUCCCAGGACCCUGGGAUCAUGACCUGAGCCGAAGGCAGACGCCCAACGACUGAGCCACCCAGGCACCCUCCUUCAACUACCUUCUUUAUGGAUCUCACGAUCUGGCCUCUAGCACCAUCGUCUCAGCAACCAUCAUAAUGUAGCCCCUUAAAGUCAUUUUUUAGGGUAUAUCACAUUUGAAGACAGCGGUCAGGUACCCCUUGCUCCCCAGUAGUUAGCAAAUGCCCUAAUUCCCGCACAGACCCUUGUUCAUCUCCAUAGCUUAAGCCAGAGAAUAAUGGCGGAAUUUUAGGCAGAGUGAGGCUGUCAGGGACAGUGACAAGAGUGGAAGGUUUUCCCUGCAUCUCAAAUCACAGCAGGUUGGCCAUUCCUUCUGUGACCGCCAGACCCGAGGAGGAUGGUUAGGAGAAUCUUUCCUAAGCACUGUUCCAUUACGAGCAUUGGGUCAGAAAGAAAUUAUACAGUGAGGGCAAUUUUGAAAUGUCCUGGUGCAGAGGGUAGAACCUCCUUUCAGCCAAAUUCCUGAGCAUAACACCUUCUAUGAGGUCACCUGCUGAGAGCCGAUGGCCACUGAAGAAACUCUGCCUGAGAGUAUUUUGAGUCACAGCAUGCUUCUAAGUUUGACAAAGAAAGAAUUUCAAGAAAAUAGUGUUUUAUAUUAUUUAUUAUUACUUAUUCUAUGCCAGGCACUAGUCUAAGUGUUUUGUGACGUUGACUCGCUUACUCCCCACCACAAGCCUGUAAGAUAGUUACCAACUCCAUUUCACAGAUGUGGAAACUGAGGCUCACAGAGAGAUUAAAGGGCUUACCCCAGGCCACUUAGCUGUAAGCAGCAAAGCUGGGCUUCAAGCCUGCCUUCACUGACAGUUACGGAGCUUUAAGGGGCCCUGUGUCAGGUCCUUAACCUUAUUAGGAAACCUGGCUUUUUGUCUUUCUUCACCUGAGCAGGAGGGCUGAUACCUUGAACCAUCACUCAACUUUGGAAAAUGUUGCUGCUUCUAAGAAGCAACUCGUUAGAGCAUUUUUCUUGGCUUGACACUUCUAAAACCAUGCUCUCUUUUUCUCUGUCUUCCUGUAUCGUGUAUAUAAUAAUUACAUAUACAUGUUACACAUAUAUACAUGUAUAUAUUGAGAAACAUAAAGUGUAUUCCUAACUCAGAAUAUUUUGACUAACAGGUAUGCAAAAUACAAUAAGAAAUCACUUUUGGAAUUGAACAGGAAACACAGGAAGGAUUUCCUGCUUGGCUCAACAAAUGCGAUUGCAUCCAUAAAUACAGCCACUGGCACUUUAAUAAAUAAAAGAAUAAACACAGGACACGUGACUUCACUGGAUGGCCAUUUGCUGUUGCCAGAUGCUGAGCUAUGGACUGACAUUAGAUACGGAUGCAUAGAGCAGUUAUCACUGCAAUUAGCUGUCCGCAAACACUGGUAUUUGUUGAGUAAUAGUGGAUGUUACCGCCACUGGACAUUUUCCCUUUAUGGAUAUCAGCCGUUGGUGGGGCUGUCACUGACGGACAUUAGGUAUCGAUAGAUAUUAGGUAUCAGUGAACAUUUGCUCUCUCAUGAGCAUUAGCCAACACAGAACACUGAGCAUUGAUGCGCAAGGCCCUAUUAGCCUAUGAUGACCUCUACUGUCUUGGUGGACAUUAGGUAGGAGCAGAGGGUAGGCCUCUGGCCCAGGCAUGCUUGGCGGUCUUGGGCAUAGAAGCAUCCUGUGAGCUGGUUUGGAAGCAGUUGGUGGGUGCUAGUAUCUCAAUCUUCAUCUGUCCUCUCUGAGAGUCCUUUGGCCAUGACAAUUUGGGGAUGUCAGGGGGUGGUAUGAUAACACCCAUGGAGGGAAAUUCCUGGAUUUGAAAGAAUAAUUGGCUCCCAGAGGGAUGACAUUACAUACAAAUUUACACAGACUCUUCUGCCAUCCUGACCAACACUGGGUGUUUGCCCCUUCCUUCUCUGUAAAUGGUGUGAUUAAAGCACAACGGGGCUGGCUUCGUGGGCAGUGGGACCUUAGAAGGGCCUUGGGCUUGGUUUAAUGCUCUGCUCUUGCCAUCUUGACAUUCUCAAUAAUUUUGAAUGAGUCUCCUUAUUGUCAUUUUACACUGGGUCCCACAAAUUAUCCUGGUCACCUGCCAUGCGACCUUGGGCUGAUCUCUGGGUCUUAGUCUCCGCAUUUGUGAAAUAGGGUCACGGGGCCGGGGAGGAGGACUUUGACUUUGAUCUUCAGCUUUUCAUGCUCAAUGAUGUAGAACCAGUGGUCUGAUUGGAAGUACUUAGAAUUGCAUAACUUCCCUGAUUUAUUUUCAACAGAAAAGAGAUGGAAUCCCAGGUUUUUUUUUCGGUUUCUCAGAGCACCUCUGCUCUCUGACGUGUGGGAUCUGCACAGCUGGGCCAGCCACUGAAGUAGGACACGCAAGAUUGACUCACCAUUGGUCAGAUGAAGCCAGGCCCAGGCUGGUAUCCUCAUCUGUAUGGUGACAAUAUUACCUGGGGCAGUUGUGGUGAGGAGGAAAAUGCUAUUUGCACACCAAGUGCACGGAACACGUGUCCAGUGAGUGGCAGCUGUAUUGUCAGUGGAAUGCAAGGAAAUGUGUGGGAGCCAGUCUGUGCCAUGAUGACAAACUGUGCCUCAGUUGUCUGCCCAUCCCUAAAACUCAACUGACGUGUGCUGAAGGCCUAUUCUACGUUCGGCACCCAGAGCAAAGGUCCUGUGCAUUAGAGUAUUGUUCUGCAACUCUACAAUCCGAAACCUUUAUGACAUUCUUCAGUCCUGAGUCAGUUAUCGAAAUAUGAGUAUAAGACUACCUGAUUCUGUAAUCUAUUUCCUAAUUCUGUGGUUCGAUGAAGCUGGGACCAAGCAUUUAUUUGUGCCAGGCACGCACUGUGCUGGAUUCUUUACAGACGUUACUUCAUUUACGCAUACAAUCCCGUGGAGGGAGAUAUUUUCAUCCCCCUUCUCCAGGCUCAGAGAGGUAAAGUGAUGUGGCCAAAGUCACACAACUGGUUCGUGAUGGACCCAAGAUGUUUAAUUAAUCCUUUUCUGUGAACUCUAAAAUGGAAUCUUUGCGUUCAUCUCUGUAAUUCUGUAAGGUUCUAAUGUCACCAUUCUCGGCCCCAGGAUCCCAGGAGGGCAGACUGUAGCAGCAUGAAGACGGUGUGGCUAGGGGAUGGAA